rnacentral:rRNA from 1 species
GAUGGCCUCUACUUGUAAGCUAUCGCUGAGGGAUGGGCCUGCGGGCCAUUAGCUUGUUGGUGAGGUAACGGCUCACCAAGGCUGUGAUGGCUAGCUGGUCUGAGAGGAUGACCAGCCACACUGGGACUGAGACACGGCCCAGACUCCUACGGGAGGCAGCAGUGGGAAUAUUGCGCAAUGGGCGAAAGCCUGACGCAGCGACGCCGCGUGGGUGAUGAAGGCCUUCGGGUCGUAAAGCCCUGUCGCAGGGGAAGAAUAAGCAUCGGUAUAAUACGCCGGUGCCCUGACGGUACCCUGCAAGAAAGCACCGGCUAACUCCGUG